CCUACGGGCGGCAGCAGUGAGGAAUAUUGGUCAAUGGGCGAGAGCCUGAUGCAGCAACGCCGCGUGAGUGAAGAAGGUCUUCGGAUCUUUAAACCCUUUUUAUAUAGAAGUAAAUGCGUGAACGUAUCUGUUCACGUUUCUACGGUAUCUAACCAGAACGCCACAGUUAACUACGUGCCAGCAGCCGCGGUAAUACGGAGGUGGCAUGCGUUAUCCGGAUUUAUUUGGCGUAAGGGGAGCGUAGGAGGUAUAUUAAGUCUGAUGUGAAAGCCUUCGGCUUAACCUGAGAAGUGCCGUUGAAACUGGUGGACUUGAGUGCAGAAGAGGUAAGUGGAAUUCCAUGUGUAGCGGUGAAAUGCGUAGAUAUCAGGAAGAACACCAGUGGCGAAGGCAGCUCACUGGUCUGUAACUGACGCUGAGGUUCGAAAGCGUGGGUAGCAAACAGGAUUAGAUACCCGUGUAGUC
rnacentral:rRNA from 1 species